ACUGAAUAGAUACCCUGGUAGUCCACGCCCUAAACGAUGUCAACUAGGUGUUGGAGGAGCAAAUCUUUCAGUACCGCAGCUAACGCGUGAAGUUGACCGCCUGGGGAGUACGGUCGCAAGAUUAAAACCUCAAAGGAAUUGACGGGGACCCGCACAAGCGGUGGAUGAUGUGGAUUAAUUCGAUGCAACGCGAAAACCCUUACCUACCCUUGACAUGUCUGGAAUCCUGCUGAAAGGCGGGUAGUGCCCGAAAGGGAACCCGGAACACAGGUGCUGCAUGGCUGUCGUCAGCUCGUGUCGUGAGAUGUUGGGUUAAGUCCCGCAACGAGCGCAACCCUUGUCCUUAGUUGCUACGCAAGGGCACUCUAAGGAGACUGCCGGUGACAAACCGGAGGAAGGUGGGGAUGACGUCAAGUCCUCAUGGCCCUUAUGGGUAGGGCUUCACACGUCAUACAAUGGUCGGUACAGAGGGUUGCCAACCCGGCGAGGGGGUAGCCAAUCCCAGAAAGCCGAUCGUAGUCCGGAUCGCAGUCUGCAACUCGACUGC
rnacentral:rRNA from 1 species